rnacentral:rRNA from 1 species
UACGGAGGGGGCUAGCGUUGUUCGGAAUUACUGGGCGUAAAGCGCGCGUAGGCGGACUGGUCAGUUGGGGGUGAAAUCCCAAGGCUUAACCUUGGAACUGCCUUCAAAACUGCCAGUCUUGAGUCCGGGAGAGGUGAGUGGAAUUCCUAGUGUAGAGGUGAAAUUCGUAGAUAUUAGGAAGAACACCAGUGGCGAAGGCGGCUCACUGGCCCGGUACUGACGCUGAGGUGCGAAAGCGUGGGGAGCAAACAGGAUUAGAUACCCUUGUA